rnacentral:lncRNA from 1 species
UUUAGGAUAUGAAUUGAAACUAUUAGGAUAUGAGUUGAACUUUUAGGAAAUAAAUUGAACCUUUAGCACAUGUAUUGAACCUUUAGGAUAUGACUUGAACUUUUAGUUUAUGUUUAAACUCGUAGGAUAUGUAUAAAACUUUAGUUUUUAGGUUUUGUUCUUGUGAAUUGAAUUUUUAGGAUAUGAAUUGAAACUUUUAGGAUAUGAGUUGAAUUUUUAGGAUAUAAAUAGAAAUUUUAGAAUAUGAGUUGAACUUUUAGGAAAUAAAUUGAACCUUUAGCAUAUGUAUUGAACCUUUAGUAUAUGACUUGAACUUUUAGUUUAUGUUUAAACUCGUAGGAUAUGAAUAUAAAUUUUAGUUUUUAGGUUUUGUUCUUGUGAAUUAAACUUGUAGGAUAUGAAUUGAAACUUUUAGGAUAUGAGUUGAAUUUUUAGGAUAUAAAUAGAAAUUUUAGGAUAUGACUUGAACUUUUGUGGAUAUGAAUUGAACUUUUAGUUUAUGUUUAAACUCGUAGGAUAAGAAUUGAUGAACAUUUAUUUUUUAGGUUUUGUUCUUGGAAUUGAACUUGUGCGAUAUAAAUUGAAGCUUUUAUGUAUGACUUGAACUUUUUAGGAUAUGAAUUGAAACUUUUAGGAUAUGAGUUGAACUUUUGGGAAAUAAAUUGAACCUUUAGGAUUUGUAUUGAACCUUUAGGAUAUGACUUGAAAUUUUAGUUUAUGCUUAAACUCAUAAGAUAUGAAUAUAACUUUUAGUUUUUAGGUUUUGUUCUUGUGAAUUGAACUUGUAGGAUAUAAAUUGAAGCUUUUAUGUAUGACUUGAACUUUUUAGGAUAUGAAUUGAAACUUUUAGGAUAUGAGUUGAACUUUUAGGAAAUAAAUUGAACCUUUAGCAUAUGUGUUGAACCUUUAGGAUAUGACUUGAACUUUAAUUUAUGUUUAAACUCGUAGGAUAUGAAUAUAACUUUUAGUUUUUAGGUUUUGUUCUUGUGAAUUGAAUUUUUAGGAUAUGAAUUGAAACUUUUAGGAUAUAAGUUGAAUUUUU